CGCACAGACGAGUACCGGCCGGGCCACAGGGCAAGCGCCUGACGCGAGCGGGGGAGGAACCGGGGCUGAAGCAGAGGGUGCGCCCGGUAGUCCUCGAGCUGCGGCGGCACCGCGCAGGUGGGAGGGCUUUGGGGGCAGGGGCGUGGAGGGUGUCUGGGGUUUUUUCAGAAUGCUGUGCGUGCGGGCUCAGCCAUCUCUGACUCUGCGACCUCACGGACUGUAACCCACCAGGCUCCUCUGUCCGUGGGAUUCUCCAGGCAAGAAUCCUGGAGUGGGGUGCCAUUUCCUCCUCCAGGGAUCUUCCUCACCCAGGGAUCUUCCUCACCCAGGGAUCGAACCCACAGCCCCUGCAUUCUUUACCACUGAAGCCGCCUGGGAAGCCCCUAAACAUGCUGUAAUGACUGAUACCUGACUACUGUUACUCCGGAACCUGGCUCAUAGUAGGAGCUGAGCAAACCCGAGCUCCUCUCCCUGUCUUGCAAGGUUGCACCGUGCCCUGCAGGGCAGACACAGGUCUCUGGCUCAUGGGUCAAGGAACUCGGCAGGGGGGCCCAGGCCAGUGUCCAGCGCAGCUUCCUCUGCUGCGCUCGUCCCACGGGGAGCCGGCAGAGCCCGCUCUGACACCCUCCUCUCCGCAGUACAGCCUGUGCUCUGCUCCCGCCCCCAGAGAGCUCUGAGCUUUCCAAAUAUGGAUGCUUUUUUCAUUCCCAAAGCAUCAGGAACAUUUGGGGGAAGAAAAUGAACACCAGACACGGCCUGGAAAUGAUGGAAGCCAAGGGAUGGGCUGUGGCGGCAUGAGAGCUCUUCUGGGAGUCAGGAGUCCGCGUUAUAAAAUCCUAAAUGGAAGCCUGGAGAUCGGAAGAGCGCCGGGUGCUCUCCACCCGACGGCGUCACUCUCCACUGGGGACGCAGGGCGUCACUCUCCACUGGGGACGCAGGGCGUCACUCUCCACUGGGGACGCAGGGCGUCACUCUCCACUGGGGACGCAGGGCGUCACUCUCCACUGGGGACGCAGGGCGUCACUCUCCACUGGGGACGCAGGGCAGCCACGGAAGGGCCUGGCCCGCUCUCCGAGGCUCCGCCUAGCUCACACAAACGCGUGGAAAUCUGCUGGCAGGAGAGGAAGCGGCCAGUAAACCGACAGAAAGAAGGGCCAAAUCCUGGGUCUCCUGCGUCCAAAGAAAGUUUCUCUGCUUCACUUUCAGCCUCCAAACACCUACUUAAACCUAGUAACACUCUGACCCAUCUCCAGUCAUCUAGCCUUUUCAUCUCAAAUCCUCUUCAGAACUUCUCUGGUUUGUAUUUCUUAUGGUAG
rnacentral:lncRNA from 1 species